GGGUCUAUUUGGUUCAAAAUUGGGGAGCUUGAGAAGGCAACUGAUAGUUUUUCAUCUAAGAACUUCAUUGGCCGAGGUGGGUUUGGGUUGGUUUUCAAGGGAACCUUGGCUGAUGGAAGUGUUGUAGCGGUUAAAAGGAUCUUGGAAUCUGAUUAUCAAGGAGAUGUGGAGUUUUGUAAUGAGGUGGAGAUUAUUAGCAACCUGAAGCAUAGGAAUCUGGUGCCUUUAAGAGGCUGUUGUGUGGCUGAGGAGAGUGAGGAUUAU
rnacentral:lncRNA from 1 species